rnacentral:lncRNA from 1 species
AUAAAAUCUACCACUUUGGAAUAGGAAUAUUUCUCCUUCCAUUGAAUUGAAGACGUCAAGAAGAAGUAAAGCCUGGGGGAAAUUAAAAGAGCCAAAUGCUGUGUCUUAGGAGAUACACCAUGUAUUCGGAGAAUGCCAUCUUAUGGUCUCAAUAACUUACCUUUUAAUUGGGAAGACAGACAAAAACAGAGGAAGAGGAAGAGAAAGGAGGAAAGAAGGAAGAAAGGAAGGGAGG